GGGGGUGUAGCUCAGUGGUAGAGUGUUUGACUGCAAAUCAAAUGGUCCUUGGUUCAAGCCCAAGGGCCCCCU